rnacentral:rRNA from 1 species
UACGUAGGGUGCGAGCGUUAAUCGGAAUUACUGGGCGUAAAGCGUGCGCAGGCGGUCUGUUAAGACCGAUGUGAAAUCCCCGGGCUUAACCUGGGAACUGCAUUGGUGACUGGCAGGCUUUGAGUGUGGCAGAGGGAGGUAGAAUUCCACGUGUAGCAGUGAAAUGCGUAGAGAUGCGGAGGAACACCGAUGGCGAAGGCAGCCCCCUGGGCUGACACUGACGCUCAGGCACGAAAGCGUGGGGAGCAAACAGG